GCGGAAACGUUUCGCUCGCUGUCAAAUCGGGACUUAGUGCAAUUUGAAUUCUGGUGGUCAGAGGAGUUGAAAUGGUGAAGCUAAACCGACGCUAAAGUGAACCCAGCGCGCCACGGAACUCGGUCCGGCUUGAAAGAUGCCCACGGCAAGCGCCUCGUCAUGGGUGAAGUUCUUCACCAAUGCCGGCGUCCCGUCGCAGGCGGCCGCCGAGUACGCGCAUGUUUUUGUUGAGAACCGGUUCCAGAUGGACAUGCUGAUGGAUUUGAACAAGGAGUACCUGCGUUAGAUGGGCAUCACGACGAUGGGGAAAUCAUUGCCAUCCUGUGCCACUCGAAGACGGUGUGCAACCAGUGUGCCCGCGACCGGGUGCUGUCCUCGCAGUCGGCAGUCGU